rnacentral:lncRNA from 1 species
AUUGCUACCCCCACUUUCUUUUCUUGCUGUUUGCAUGGAAUAUCUUUUUCCCUCCUUUCACUUUCAGUUUGUGAGUGUCUUUAGGUCUGAAGUGUGUCUCUUAUGUGCAGCAUAUACAUGGGUUUUAUUUGUUUAUCCAGUUGGCCACCCUAUGCCUUUUGAUUGGAGCAUUUAGUCUGUUGACAUUUAAAGUAGCUAUUGAUAAAUAUGUAUUUAUUGCCAAUUUGUUACUUUUCUUUUUCUGGGUGUUUUAGUAGUUCUUCCCUAUUCCUUUCUUUUUCUCUUGCUCUCUUCCCUUGUGGUUUGAUGGCUAUCUUUAGUAAUAUGUUUGAUUUCGUUUGUCUUACUUUCUUGCUUGAUUAUUACAGGUUUCUGAUUUGUGACUACCAUGAAGAUCCUAUUUAAUAUUGUAUGUAUAUAACAGUCUAUAUCAAGUUGAUAGACUCUUUGGCUUUACCUCUUUCUAAAAACUCUACUUUUUCACCCCCCGCCUCCCACAUUUUAUGUUUUUCAAAUCAUUUGUAGUCUCUUCUUUAGUGUGUGUCUAUCUAUUACCCUCUUAUCAUUGAAAUAGGUGAUUUUAGUACAUUUGUCUUUUAACCUUCAUAUUAUCUUCACAGGUAGUUGAUCUGCUACCUUUACUAUAUUUUGACCUUUACAAGUGAUUUUAUUCCCUAUUUUUGGUUGUUGUUUUCUGUUUCUCAUAAUAAUUUUUUUUAUCUCUAUUUGUGGUCAUUGCUUCCCCACUUAAAUAAGUCCCUUCAGCUUUUCUUGUAGAACUGGUUUAUUGCUGAUAAACUCCUUUAAUUUUUGCUUGUCUAGGAAGCUCUUUCUCUCUCCUUCCAUUCUGAAUGACAACUUGGAUGGAUAGAGUAUUCUUGGCUGUAGGUUUUUUUCCUUUUAGCACUUCAAAUAUGUCAUGCCAUUCUCUUCUCACCUAUAGGGUCUUGGCUAAGACGUCCGCUGAUAGCCUGAUGGGCUUUCCUUUAUAUAUCACUUGUGGCAUUUCUCUUGCUGCUUUUAGGAUUCUCUCUUUGUCUUUAAUUUUUGACAUUUUAAUUAUAAUAUGUCUUGGUGUGGGCCUCUUUGGUCUUAUCUUGUUUGGAGCUCUCUGUGCUUCCUGAACUUGGAUAUCUGUUUCCUUCCUCAGAUUAGGAAAAUUUUCAUCUAUUAUUGCUUCAAAUAAAUUUUCUGCCCCUUUCUCUCUCUCUUCUCUUUCUGGGACACCUAUAAUCCGAAUGUUAGCACGCUUGAUAUUGUCCCAGAGUUCCCUUAGACUGUUCUCAUUCUGUCUAAUUCUUUUUUCUUUUUUCUGUUCUGCUUGGGUGAUUUCUUCUAGUCUUUCAUCUGAUCCGUUCUUCUGGAUCCUCUACUCUGCUAUUGAGUCCCUCUAGUGAAUUUCUCAUUUCCAGUAUUGUCUUCUUCAUUUCUGACUGUUUUUUUUUAUAUCUUCAAGUUCUUUGCUCAUGUUCUCAUGUGUUCAUCCAGUCUUCUCCCCAUAUCUGUGAGCAUCCUUAUGAUAUUUUGUUUAAACUCUUUGUUGCGUAGGUCUCUUGUUUCUGUUUCAUUUAGUCCUUUUCUGGAGUUUUCUCCUUUUCCCUUUCUUGGAAAGUAUUCCUUUGUCUCCUCAUUAUGCCUCUUUCUCUGUACUUAUUUCUAUAUAUUAGGUGAGUCGGCUACGUCUCCUGAUCUUGGAGAAGUGACCUUAUAUAUGAGAUGCCUUAUGAGACCCAGCAGUAUGUGUCACUCUUGUCCAUCCAGAAGAUCCAGGAGUGACCCCUUUGUGGGCUACAGGAGGCUGAACUG